rnacentral:rRNA from 1 species
AUGGGCCUGCCGCUGUCCCCCAAGAGGCUACGUUUAGUGCAUUUUCAAUUCCUCAUCGACAGAAUCAAGAAGCGUCUCGCGGGCUGGAAGGGCAAGCUUAUGUUGCUGGCGGGUCGACGCGUCCUGGAGCGGGCUGUACUCUCUGCGCUGCCAACCUUCGCCAUGUCCGUGCUCAAGGUGCCAAAAAAGAUCCUCAAGGAGAUUGACAAGGCACGGCGUCGGUUUUUAUGGGCCCAAGAUGAGGUGCUGACGGGAGGGAAGUGCAAAGUGGCGUGG